GCCAGAGUGGUAUCAUGGUUUGAAUGUUGGACUACAACUCUGGGAGAUCAGGGUUCGAAUCCCUGCUCAGCCA